GCCUUCGUGGUGUAAUGGUCAGCAUACUCGGCUCGUAUUCGUUAGGUCUGUGGUUCAAGUCCCGGCGAGGCA
rnacentral:tRNA from 1 species